UCGUAGGUGAACCUGCGGAAGGAUCAUUAC
rnacentral:rRNA from 2 species